UAUAUUAAUUAAAUUAAAGCAUUAGAAUUACCAUUUAACCCAAAUCAACUAAACCCACAAAAAAAUUACUCUAUGAAACUUGAAAUUAAACUAGCGAAUAGGAAAAUAAGAAAAAUAUUAGGUAAGUGCAUUUAACUUUCUCUAAAAUAAAUUAUGAAUGUCAACCAAAAAUAAUAGAAAAGAAAGGAAAUAGACUCCCCUUUUGCGUGCCAGCGUUUGAGAUUCGAAGCCCAUAAGGGAAUCCGCUUAACCCAAAAGAUCAGGCUCACAAUUUCAGCCCAUUGCACCCAUAGACCUUGUUCUGUUGCGUGCGUUUGUACCGAAUCUCGACGUUUCCUUCUUCCUUCUGUCGAUUUUGAUCGUCAACGACACAAAGAAAAGAAAAAAAAUCGCAGCUCUCCCUUCGAUUCUCACAAUCGAUUGCUUCUCUGUGUCGUGUCUCGUUCUUUUCCUUCUUCACUUCUUAAAUCCGAUCGACACCUCCUCUUCUUCGCGUCUCCUCCCUUCGGUCGACAGAAGCCAAAUGAUUGCAGCUCCCUUCUCUCUUCCCUUCUCUCUUCUCCAAUCGAUCGAUGAAAUUAACAGCUCCUUAAUCUUGCUGAUUGAUCGCAGAAUUGAUGAAUGCUGGUGGUUUGGCGGAGGUUAAUGGAGUUGUAAGGUUGGGUGUUUGGUGAUGGUGGGUUCGAUGGUGGUGGCUGGAAUGUGGUAUAAGGUGGUAUUGAGUGGUUCGGUGGUGGCAGUUUUCACGAGACAAUGGGAGGAAUAAGGGUGGUUUCCAUUGGUGUGAUUUGGGUUGUUUGGUCGGAAUCGAACCGACCCGAACCCGAAUAACCUGAAAACCCCGAAUAAGGGUAAUUGUAAAAACCGGACCGAUUAACCAAUAUGGGUUCGGUUCGGUUUAGGCAUUAGUCGGUUUGGUUAUUAUCCAAAUAACCCGAAUAACUUAUACACGGUGAUUAUUGACCUAAUAUAAUUGAAAAAAAAGCGAAUAACCUGUAUUAAGAUUCUAUAAUCCGAAUAAUAAAAUAACAAUUUACUUUUAUAAAUGAACAUAAAACAUUCAAAGACUAAGAUAACACAAUAACACAUGAAAUAAUAACAUUUACGGAGUAGAUUAAUAUAAUAAGAAUUAAUUGCUUACUUGAGUUCCUUAAGUUCGAGCCCAAUUUUCCAUGACUAGACAAAGUAGGAAUUUGUGAAUCCUUAGAGACAAUAAGAAUGAUUGAUUUUUGAAUGUAUGAAACAUGAGGAAGGAUUGACAAAAGU